rnacentral:rRNA from 1 species
UACGGGGGGAGCAAGCGUUGUUCGGAUUUACUGGGCGUAAAGGGCGCGUAGGCGGCCUUCUAAGUCAGACGUGAAAUCCCCCGGCUUAACCUGGGAACUGCGUCUGAUACUGGGAGGCUUGAGUAUGGGAGAGGGAUGUAGAAUUCCAGGUGUAGCGGUGAAAUGCGUAGAUAUCUGGAGGAAUACCGGUGGCGAAGGCGGCAUCCUGGACCAUAACUGACGCUGAGGCGCGAAAGCUAGGGGAGCAAACGGG